AACGAACGCUGGCGGCAUGCCUAACACAUGCGAGUCGGACGAGACCUUCGGGUCUAGUGGCGCACGGGUGCGUAACGCGUGGGAACCUGCCCUUAGGUUCGGAAUAACUCCCCGAAAGGGGUGCUAAUACCGGAUAAUGUCUUCGGGCCAAAGAUUUAUCGCCUUUGGAUGGGCCCGCGUUGGAUUAGCUAGUUGGUAGGGUAAAAGCCUACCAAGGCGACGAUCCAUAGCUGGUCUGAGAGGAUGAUCAGCCACACUGGGACUGAGACACGGCCCAGACUCCUACGGGAGGCAGCAGUGGGGAAUAUUGGACAAUGGGCGAAAGCCUGAUCCAGCAAUGCCGCGUGAGUGAUGAAGGCCUUAGGGUUGUAAAGCUCUUUUACCCGGGAUGAUAAUGACAGUACCGGGAGAAUAAGCUCCGGCUAACUCCGUG
rnacentral:rRNA from 1 species